rnacentral:rRNA from 1 species
GACGAACGCUGGCGGCGUGCUUAACACAUGCAAGUCGAACGGUAAGGCCCUUCGGGGUACACGAGUGGCGAACGGGUGAGUAACACGUGGGUGAUCUGCCCUGCACUUCGGGAUAAGCCUGGGAAACUGGGUCUAAUACCGGAUAGGACCACUGCCUGCAUGGGUGGUGGUGGAAAGCUUUUGCGGUGUGGGAUGGGCCCGCGGCCUAUCUGCUUGUUGGUGGGGUGAUGGCCUACCAAGGCGACGACGGGUAGCCGGCCUGAGAGGGUGACCGGCCACACUGGGACUGAGAUGCGGCCCAGACUCCUACGGGAGGCAGCAGUGGGGAAUAUUGCACAAUGGGCGCAAGCCUGAUGCAGCGACGCCGCGUGAGGGAUGACGGCCUUCGGGUUGUAAACCUCUUUCAGCACCGACGAAGCGCAAGUGACGGUAGGUGCAGAAGAAGGACCGGCCAACUACGUGCCAGCAGCCGCCGUAA